CUGAUAACAAACUGUGACCCAGUAUCAAAUAACUCCGUUACGAAUAGUAAUGUCGCCAUUUUGACGCCGAAAAUUAUCGUUUAUGAAAUGUCUUGAUUGAAGUUUUGUUGAGUGAUUCUUUGUGAUGUUGGAAUUUUAAGAAUAUACAAACCGUGAAAAUCACGACCAUUACAAAUCAGUAUUACGCGUAAGUCAGUAUGACGCGAGUGGAUUAGAAAAGGAUAAAAAUAGGC
rnacentral:misc_RNA from 1 species